rnacentral:rRNA from 1 species
UACGGAGGGUGCAAGCGUUAUCCGGAUUUACUGGGUUUAAAGGGUGUGUAGGCGGGUCUUUAAGUCAGUGGUGAAAUCUCCGAGCUCGACUUGGAAACUGCCAUUGAUACUAUUGAUCUUGAAUUUUGUUGAGGUAGGCGGAAUAAGUCAUGUAGCGGUGAAAUGCAUAGAUAUGACUUAGAACACCAAUUGCGAAGGCAGCUUGCUAAACAAAUAUUGACGCUGAGGCACGAAAGCGUGGGGAUCAAACAGG